rnacentral:rRNA from 1 species
GAUGAACGCUGGCGGCGUGCCUAAUACAUGCAAGUCGAGCGAAUGGAUUAAGAGCUUGCUCUUAUGAAGUUAGCGGCGGACGGGUGAGUAACACGUGGGUAACCUGCCCAUAAGACUGGGAUAACUCCGGGAAACCGGGGCUAAUACCGGAUAACAUUUUGCACCGCAUGGUUCGAAAUUGAAAGGCGGCUUCGGCUGUCACUUAUGGAUGGACCCGCGUCGCAUUAGCCAGUUGGUGAGGUAACGGCUCACCAAGGCAACGAUGCGUAGCCGACCUGAGAGGGUGAUCGGCCACACUGGGACUGAGACACGGCCCAGACUCCUACGGGAGGCAGCAGUAGGGAAUCUUCCGCAAUGGACGAAAGUCUGACGGAGCAACGCCGCGUGAGUGAUGAAGGCUUUCGGGUCGUAAAACUCUGUUGUUAGGGAAGAACAAGUGCUAGUUGAAUAAGCUGGCACCUUGACGGUACCUAACCAGAAAGCCACGGCUAACUACGUGCCAGCCGCCGCUGUAA